rnacentral:rRNA from 1 species
GCGUUGUUCGGAUUCAUUGGGCGUAAAGGGUGCGUAGGUGGCGGGGUAUGUCAGGUGUGAAAUUUCGGAGCUCAACCCCGAAACUGCAUUUGAUACUGCCUUGCUUGAGGACUGGAGAGGAGACUGGAAUUUACGGUGUAGCAGUGAAAUGCGUAGAGAUCGUAAGGAAGACCAGUGGCGAAGGCGGGUCUCUGGACAGUUCCUGACACUGAGGCACGAAGGCCAG